AGAGUUUGAUCCUGGCUCAGAUUGAACGCUGGCGGCAUGCUUUACACAUGCAAGUCGAACGGUAACAGGGUGCUUGCACCGCUGACGAGUGGCGAACGGGUGAGUAAUGCAUCGGAAUGUACCGUGUAAUGGGGGAUAGCUCGGCGAAAGCCGGAUUAAUACCGCAUACGCCCUGAGGGGGAAAGUGGGGGACCGUAGGGCCUCACGUUAUACGAGCAGCCGAUGUCUGAUUAGCUAGUUGGUGGGGUAAAGGCUCACCAAGGCUUCGAUCAGUAGCGGGUCUGAGAGGAUGAUCCGCCACACUGGGACUGAGACACGGCCCAGACUCCUACGGGAGGCAGCAGUGGGGAAUUUUGGACAAUGGGCGCAAGCCUGAUCCAGCCAUGCCGCGUGUCUGAAGAAGGCCUUCGGGUUGUAAAGGACUUUUGUCCGGGAGCAAAUCCCAGUGGUUAAUACCUACUGGGGCUGAGAGUACCGGAAGAAUAAGCACCGGCUAACUACGUGCCAGCAGCCGCGGUAAUACGUAGGGUGCAAGCGUUAAUCGGAAUUACUGGGCGUAAAGCGUGCGCAGGCGGUUGUGCAAGUCUGAUGUGAAAGCCCCGGGCUUAACCUGGGAACGGCAUUGGAGACUGCACGACUAGAGUGCGUCAGAGGGGGGUAGAAUUCCGCGUGUAGCAGUGAAAUGCGUAGAGAUGCGGAGGAAUACCGAUGGCGAAGGCAGCCCCCUGGGAUGACACUGACGCUCAUGCACGAAAGCGUGGGGAGCAAACAGGAUUAGAUACCCUGGUAGUCCACGCCCUAAACGAUGUCAACUAGCUGUUGGGGGUUUGAAUCCUUGGUAGCGAAGCUAACGCGAGAAGUUGACCGCCUGGGGAGUACGGCCGCAAGGUUAAAACUCAAAGGAAUUGACGGGGACCCGCACAAGCGGUGGAUGAUGUGGAUUAAUUCGAUGCAACGCGAAAAACCUUACCUGGUCUUGACAUGUAACGAACGCCGCAGAGAUGUGGCGGUGCCCGAAAGGGAGCGUUAACACAGGUGCUGCAUGGCUGUCGUCAGCUCGUG
rnacentral:rRNA from 1 species